rnacentral:rRNA from 1 species
UACGGAGGAUCCAAGCGUUAUCCGGAUUUAUUGGGUUUAAAGGGUGCGUAGGUGGCCUGUUAAGUCAGGGGUGAAAGACGGUAGCUUAACUAUCGCAGUGCCCUUGAUACUGAUGGGCUUGAAUGAACUAGAGGUAGGCGGAAUGUGACAAGUAGCGGUGAAAUGCAUAGAUAUGUCACAGAACACCAAUCGCGAAGGCAGCUUACUAUGGUUUUAUUGACACUGAGGCACGAAAGCGUGGGGAUCAAACAGG